UACGUAGGUGGCAAGCGUUGUCCGGAGUUAUUGGGCGUAAAGCGCGCGCAGGCGGUGCGGUAAGUCUCUGGUGAAAGCGCUCGGCUUAACUGGGCGAGGGCCGGGGAGACUGCCACGCUGGAGGGGAGCAGAGGCGAGUGGAAUUCCGGGUGUAGUGGUGAAAUGCGUAGAGAUCCGGAGGAACACCAGUGGCGAAGGCGGCUCGCUGGGCUCUACCUGACGCUGAGGCGCGAAAGCAUGGGUAGCGAACAGG
rnacentral:rRNA from 1 species